UCUAAUCUCUAAAACAUCCAUCUUGAAAUGAUUUGUGGGGAGUGUGCAGAUUUGGAUGAGCAAAGAGAAAUUUACACUCUCCCCCGGUGCCAUGAUGGCAUGUGUGCUGAAUUACUAUGCCGAGAGGAGCUGACGCCUGGCAGACACUUCCAUGACAAGAGCAUAAUCUUCUACUAUCCACUUCCAUCAAACUGUUCAUGAUCGCUUAUCACUCUUCUUUUCACUUUCCUCCAUUCAUUAUCUUCUCUCUCUUGCUCACUGACAGCAGCGAUCAGAUAGCCUCUCUUUGAUAGAAUCCAGAUGUUGUAGAAAAACAGACUGAGGAGAGGGACCAUUAAGUGCGGAUCGUCAUCAUUCCUCACAUGCUUCUGCAGACCAGCGGUUUGGAGGUUUACACGGAACAGUAUGCAGACAAGCAGUGCAUCCCAGAUGAGCUCUGCAGUGCAGAGUUGAAUUGGCUGGCAGAGGUUACAGUAAUGAAAAGUAAGAGUAAGCGCUCCCUCCUGACAGCUGUACCCAACUGUGUGGACCUCUUCCAGAUGUAGCCUUCGGCAAUGCGGUUGCUAAGGAAGGUCUGGUUUCCAGGCAUGAAAUGGACCAUUGGGAUUCAUGGGAAGCUGGACCUCCAUAACAGCUUGUGGGAAGGUUUCCACUGAAUGUUGCUCUCAUUCAGUAAGGUCAGGCACUGAUGGGAGAUGGGGAACGGCUAGCAGUCCAUUUUGUCCCAUUGGGGUGUUCAAUGGCAAUCUGGGCUUUUUACAGGUCAUUGAAGUUCUGCAUAAAACUCAACAGUGUUCUUGUAGGUCAACUGGUGGAGCUUUGCGUUAAUAGCACAUACGGUCAUAGGUUUGAUCCGCAGGGAACAUAUAUACUGAUAAAAUGUAUACCCUGUAAUGUUCUAAUUAGUUUGAAGCAUUUGCUUCAAUAUACUGUAAAACAUACAUAAAACAAUAUUUUUGGGUCAUGAACGCUUCCCAAAUGUGCUACAAGGCACACAAAUUGUCUAUAAUUGCAAUAUAUGUUGAUGUAUGUUGCAAUAUAUGCAAUAUUGUCGUCUUACCCUAAAGCUACAUUAUUGAGAACACCAAGCCAGAAAAUUAAAGUUCAUGCAGAGCUUUUUCUAUCCUGAGUAGCUGCGUGCAAACUAGGGUGUAAAUUAUAUCGGAUCUAUACUGGAUGAAAUGGGCAUAUUCUCAUUGCAUCUGGCAGCAUGACACAAUAAACCACACAUAAAAGUCUGGAAAGUUCAUUUAAUCGAACUUAAAAUAUAUGACAAAUGGAUUAUAAAUAGAAAUGCAAUGCAAGCAAGAAAAAGAAAUCACUCUGUCAGAAAUAAUUGAUAGUUGCCUUGCAGUGAAUCAGCGGACUUGCGGGGACGAGCCACGGUUGCCGUGCCCUACUUUUCUCCUAUCGCCAUCCAGGCAGCCCUUGUGCACUGAACACAGGAGGUAUAUAGAGGCUUUCUGCCACGCAUGGCCUGUCACAUCCGCAAA